rnacentral:lncRNA from 1 species
UCAAACAUGCUGGUGAUGAAUUGUUCCAGGUUAAUUCGUUUUCCAAUUUAUGAAACAAAAGGAUGGUUUGAGUUUGACACCAUAAUGCUUUGUUUUUCUUUUAUCCUUGUGAUUUUGAGAAUAGCAGUCUCAAUUGGAAUUAGAGAGAGAGUGAAUGUGAAACAUAGGCAUAGCCUUGGCCUUACGCCAUUACAAUUUUACUGAGAUAAACUAUACUGGCUUUUACAUUCACACGCUACAUCAAUAAAAAUUCAGAAAACAAGAUUAAAUCUGAGAGAAUGCUUUAUCAAUCUAAUGCUUUUUCUUGGUAACAUAAGAAGAGGUGUCGAGAAAGGGAUAAUCCGUGUAACCAACAACAGGAUCGGAAACAUAGAAUGUUUCUCUGUUGUACUUAUUGAGGGGGGCAUUGAACUCAAAUCUCCUGGGUAAAUCUGGAUUAGCCAAGAACAAGCGACCAUAAACAACAAGAUCUGCACGGCCUUCAGCAAUAGCUUUGUUUCCAUCUUCCCUGUCAUAACCCCCAGCGACAAGAAAAGUACCCUUGAAAGCCUUUCUCAUGGGCAGCAAACUGUGAGGACAUUCAGAUUUUUCUCCAACUGUUUUCAUCCUCGGCUCAACCAUGUGACAAUAGAGGAUACCGUAUUUGUUCAAGGAUUCUGCCAUGUAAAGACCUAAAGCUUCUGGGUUAGAGUCCCCUGAUUCCAUAUAGUUUGCAAACGGAGAUAGUCUUAUCCCAACCCUAUCUGCCCCUAUUUCAUUGGAAACAGCUUCAACUAUUUCUAAAGCAAAACGGCAACGGUUCUCUAAGGAUCCUCCAUACUGGUCUGUUCGAUCAUUCACUUGAUCCUUCAUAAAUUGGUCAAUUAGGAAGCCAUGUGCACCGUGGAGCUCAAUGCCAUCGAAACCUAUACAGCAUAAGACAAAGUUAGAAACCAAAAACCUGUACAGCAUGAACACUCCAUUUAUCUAACUCUUCUCAUAUAACUAAAAGCUCUGAGGCUCGCAUUGUGCGGACAGACAGACGGAGGGUCUAGCUUUCAUUUUAAGAACAAGAAAAAGUCUUUAAGCAUUUACUAGGUUGGCUCUCAAAGUUAAUCCAAGGCAGUUUUGUGAUGUCUCAGAGAUGCAGGCAGAAAACUACAAAACUACUCAGAGUUGCAGGUACUCAAUCCCUAUUUUAACUAACAACAAAACAGUUGAUAAGAUCAUAAAAAACAAAGUCUCAACCAUCAUUUUAGAUGACAAAAGGAGUCACAUGUAAGAUUCUAGAACCCAUUCCAAAUAAUCUGACUAUUGUAAUGACUCCAUUUACAUUAAUGACACAUUUAGGUAAGGUUUAAGUUUUCAAAUUCUUUAUUCAAUAUGAUAAAUACAACUAUGGGACAAUAAGCAUAAUUGUAAAGAAACUUAACUGUUUUCACAUAAACCUUACAGUACAAUAAAACAACAGUAUUUACAAGCCACAAAAGCCUAGUAAAAAUCUAUUAAUGCAUUUAUGUUUAGUUUUCCUUUCCUUCUGAUAGCCAUGCAUGGAAUGGAAGAAUCUCACUAUUCUUUUAUACUAUUAUCCUUAAUCUCAAGAAAAGUAGACCAGUGAAAUAUCACCCAUCCUGUGGCGACCUUAGAACACUUAUUGCCCACAAUUCAAUUUUUAAUUUCAGAAAAAAAAAUUUACCAGCCUCAAUUGCAUUUCUUGCAGCAAGCCUGAAAUCAUUCACAAUUUGAGGGAUUUCAUCUGUCGUUAGCCGCCUUGGAGGAGUGAAUUGUGCAAUAUCAACACCAUUAGUGCGGAUUUGAGGUGUCAAUGGCUUGUCUGUACAGGAAAUUGGAGCUUGACCAUUUGGCUGAUAAUCUGUACAGUUCGACGACAGGAAAAACCAAUGAAGAUCCAGUUGAAAUGAUUCUCAAAUUUCUAUAAAAUCAGUCAGAUCCAUCACAUGGAGGUUGCAAAAAAACUAUUGAAUAUCAUUUUAUUAACUGAAAAUAAAAUGCAAAAGGAUGGUGCAUCUGUAGGAUGAUCAGUACUCAAUUUGAGCAUUUGAUUAAUCCGCGCUGCUUAUUCUCUCAACACUUGCCUCAUGUUAGAUUACUGUAAGUUACUGCAAUUCAAUAGCUUAAGUUCACGGUACCUUAUCUUAUUAUCAGAAAUAAAAUGUAUGUAUGAUCCUGAUAACUAAGUAACCAGUAACUGUCAAUAGAAGAGAGAGAUAUAGAACACACCUUGAUUUGAAACCCUGCCAACGUGCCCAAUCUGACAAAAGAAGAUCCCACCUUUGGCAUGAACAGCAUCUACAAUCGGUUUCCAUGCUUCAACUUGCUCCUUUGUCCAGAUACCAGGUGUAUCUGGAUACCUUACAAUAAAAGAAACAACAGAACACACAAGAUUUUCAAGCAACUAAAUACAGGUAAUGCUUUCGAAACUCAAACAUACAAUUUCUUAUCCAUUUAAUGCCUCAAAAAACUCUUAAAACAGUUAAACGGAUGUAAAAUUACCCUUGAGCAGUGUCGGAAACUCCAGUGGCUUCGGCUAUAAGCAAACCCCCUUUGGUGGUUCUUUGAGAGUAAUACAAAAUGGCAUGUGGCUGAGGAACAUUGUUGUAUGAUCUCUGUCUAGUCAGUGGUGCUAAAACAACUCUGAAAUAAACAAAACAAGCAAGCCGCAAUUCAAUUAGCCCCAUCACCAAUAACUCAAACUCAAAAGAAAAAAACCCAUAAAAUUGCAACAUUACACUUAAACUGCCUCUGUAACACUCUCAGUCAGAUCAUAGACCAAACGAACAAAUACAAAGAAGAUACAGAAACUAAAUCAGAUCAUACAUUCAAAUCAGUUAAGGGUAUUAUAAGUUAAUAACCGGGCGUGCUUCUGCUUAAUUACCAAAAAAGGACAGUUAAAAAGUGUUCCGUAAACACCAACAGUUUUACUCGAUAGCUACUGAUUCACUCCACAUAGAGACUGUGAAUUAAAAACCACAGUAACUAAAUCCCAAAUAUUUCCUAAUCCAUUCCAAAUAUUCACUAAUCCAUUCAUUCUAAAUGGACAAGGAUUCAGUGGUCCACUGCGUUUGCGCUGAGCCCUGGAUAAACAGUGAGAAUCUGAGUGCUCAUGAUGUGAAUGCUCGCCACUCAAAUGUACUUUGGCAGAUAUCACUUUCGUCAAUAAAGUUAACGCCAUACAAAAAUCCAUACAGCGAAAGAAAAUGUAAAUCCAAAAAAAUAAAAAUAAAAAACUCAAUGAAAUAAAAGGUGGGUACAAUCGGUACCUAUCAGAAAGAUUGAGACUGCCCAUAUUGUAAGGAGUGAGAAGAGGGAUGAUGGGAGUUUCAAUGGCCAUGUUACCGUUGUUCUCUUCUUGAUUUUGCUUAGCCUCCUCUGCUCUGUUUCCCAUGUUUAGUAGAAUUACAAGCAAAUUGAGAAUCCUUAACGCGACUGAAAAUAAAAUGAUUAAAGAAACGGAAGGGUUCAAUUGGGUAUUUAUAGACCGAAAUGGGUCGACCGUUUUGGAAUAUAAAAAAAUUCCACGAGGGGCGAAUCAGUCUCCAUUGCCAUUGGAUUCAAUGUUCACAUAUGUUUAAAAUGCUUUUAAUAGCUGGCACGUGACGUUUGCAAGUACGUAGCCGGCUGCUGUUGCCUGUCUUUGAACAACUAACCAAUAUGCUUUUAUUUUUAAUAAUGAGAUUCUAAGGGCUGUUUGGAAUUAUUGUUGAGAAGUUUAAAAAUAAUUUUUAAAAGUUAAUAGUUAAUUUUAGAUUUUGAUAAUUUUUUAAAAAUUAUUUUUGGUAAAUUUAUUUUAAUUUUAUAAUGGAUUUUAAAAAAUUGAGAAUAAGUAGUUUUUCAAAAUUUAAUUUAAGAAUCAAUUUUAUACCUAACAUAAUUUCAUACAUAUUCUCAAAUUUAUUAUAUAAAUCUAAAAUUAUCCUUUUUAAUUAGGAAAUAAAAUCAUUAACUUAAAAAAAAAUUAUUACUUCCCAUUAUAUUAAGAUAACAAAAAAAUUAAUAAUAUAAAAUAUUUAUUUUAGUUAUCAAUUAUCAUUUAUACAAAAUAAAAAUAUUUUAUAUACAUAUUUAUAAAUAUAUAAAUAAAAUCAAUUUAACAUUAAGUCUAGUUCAAUCGUUUACAUUCUUAUAGCAAUUUAGCAAUAAAACUUAGCACACAUACAAUUAUUUUUAAAACCCAUAAUACUUUUUAAAACGCAUAGUAUUUUAAAAGUUACAUUAUUAGUAGAAUAACCCUAAGUUAUUGUGCUGAUUGUACUGAUUGAUUGUAAUAAUUCUAUUUAAUGGAAUGAAAGUUUAGGGUGCCUAAAAAAUAUGUAUAAUUAAAUGAUUUAAAAAUCAAGUAGUACCAACAAAGAAAGUAAAAUAGAAUUAAAAAUUAUAUUUAAAGAAACAUGAAAUUGGUUUUAAUUAAGAAUAUCAAAACAUCAUAUAAUUGGAGUGACUUCAGCAAUGACAAAUUAAUCUAUAAUGUACUCAAACGGAAGUGAUCUGUCUUUGUCAAGACUCAAAAUAUUGAAAUUAGUUGAAGGGAUCUCUUCUUUAUUAGGAAAUUUUUUAUUAUUUCCCUAAAAUAAUUAUAAAAAAAAUUACUCCACAUGGAAAGUUUUUGUUAUAAUUUUUUAAUUAGUCGCUUUCCGCUUUCCCAAAUUUCCUUCGCCCAGUAAAAGUGCUACCUUGUCCCUUUCACUAGUGGUCUAUUUUCCAUAGUUAUUAUCUCAAUCAAGGUAAUUAGAUUUUAUUAUAAAUUUAUCAAACCUUUUUGCUCAUCAUAAUAUAUAGUUUCUGUUUUACUUAUUUAUAAGAUUUUUCAACAAGCGUAUAUUUUCAGCUGCGAAUCUCAGUGAAGACAUUACAAAACAUUAAAAUAGAAAAAUGAGUUCUUUUUAGAUUGUAAAGUUAUCUAUGUUAAAGAUAUAUUACAAAUACUACAUGACUAAAAUUUCAUUAUUGAUGAAUUCUAUAGUUUUAACUUUUAAGUCGCAAGUAUUUCUAUUUUUACACUAACGAGUCGUCUUUCUUAUAAUCUUUUCCAUUACAGAACCUAUAUAUUAAAGUUCUACACGUCAAUGCUAAAUUAAAAAAAAAAAAAGAUAAAAGAAAGAAAGAAACCACCCCAUGGUCAAUAAUCAAUAUUAUAAACUAUUAAAGAAAAUGAUGCAUCCCUCUUAAUUGAAACGAAAACAUGUCCAAGUUCAUCUUUGUCAUCAAAUGAACCGACAAAGUUAUCCAGGAAAUUACAAAUUUAACCAUAAGAAGUUGGAAUUAUAACCAUUAGACCACUCACUAUAAAAAUAAUAGCAUCGGAGUACUAUAUAUUGUGGGUCUUUAUGAUUUUUUAAUAAAAGAUUAACGUAUUUAUAAUUUUUAAUAAAAGAUUAAUGUAUUCGUAGUCUUUUAACCACCUCGUAAUCCUAAUUUAUUUUAUAUUUUUGUCGAAUUAAGACAAAAGGUUCUAUCGAACAUUUUGCAAACGAAAGGACUAUUGCAUCCAGUUUUUCAUGUUUGUGGUUGUUUUUGACAUUUAGCCAUAUCUCAAGUGUAUUGAAGCAUAUAUUUAUUCGACUUGAGUAGAGUUUUAUACUUAACAAAUAUUUUUUAAAAAAAUAUUAAAGCAAAUAUUUAUUCGUAUAUCAUCAUCAUGGUCGUCGUAGUUGUCAUUAUCAUCAUCAGUAAAAUAAUAAUAAUAAUAAUUUAUUAUAUCUUAAUAGUUUGUAAUUUUUUUUUAAUUUAUUUUAGAGAUAGAAUACAUACAAUUUUCUUUUUUGAAUUAUUAUGAUAUAUAUCAUAUAAAAGUAAAGAAUUUUGAAAUUUAAAAAUAAAUUAUGUUUGAAUGUUCACUUAGACAAAAUACAAAAAAAUAAUAAUAGGGACAUAUUGUGCUUUAAAGGCUUUGAAAUUCUUCUUUAAGUCUUGAAUUUCCGCAAUGACCAAAUAUAUUUCUGUUAGGCUGCCUUCUCUGUUGUUUAUCAAUUCUGGUACUUCAUGAGAAUUAGUUUCUAGGAUAACUGACUGUAGACCUGCUUCAUGUGCUAUUUUGAUGCCCUACUCAGCUGCUUCUACUUCCACAUAUGUUACAUCUCUCCUAAACCUUGAGGUUUUUAUAGCUGCAGCUAAGCACUUUCCAGUGGAGUCUAUGAUUAUUGCUCCCAAUCCCGAGCAUUGUCUUUUGGUGUCAGUAGUUGCAUUAACAUUUAUCUUUAGCCAUCCAUCGGGUGGAAGGGUCCAGGAUUUUGGUUUUUCCUUCUGCAUUUUUCCUAGAUUCAACAUCUCCGGAAAUUUUGUUCUUCUAAAAACUUCAUUGACUACUUCAGCUUUGGCCAUUUGCAAUCCUUGAUCCAACUUUACACCUUCAAAUACAAAUUUAUUCUGAGCAUGCCAAAUCACCCACCACAUUGACGCCACAAGCUCAAGUUCAGCUUUACUUAAUUUCUUCUGAAGCAUCAUCAAAUCCCCCAAGAGGUUUGCAUUUCUCAUCUAUUGAAUUGCAUUCACCAUUGAUGAAAGCUGCCAAACCUUUCUUGCUGCUUUGCAAGUGACCAUGGCGUGCAUAGUAUUUUCCACUCUAUUUCUACAAUGCUUGCAGUGACCUUCCUGAAUAAUUCUACGCUUCCACAAAUUAUCAGCUGUCGGUAGUAAGUUUUUAAUUACUUUCCAAAUGAAAAUCUUAAUCUUUUUUAGGAUGGUAAGGGUCUAUAUGAUAUUCCAAUUUCUGCCUUUACUGUUGGAGCAAUUUGGUGAAUUCAAAAAUUUCAUAUGUAUAGCCACUUGGUAUCCACUAUUGACCGAGUAUUUCCCCUUUCUGUCGUAAUGCCAGAUGGCUUGUCCUUUGCUUUGUCCUUUUGGCAAAGGAAUGCUGAGAAUUGCAUCUACAUCUUCCUUUAAAAACAUCUUUUGGAUCAAGUCAGUCUUCCAUCUGCUUUCAUUGUCUAUCAACUCUGAAACAAUAGCAUCGAAAGGCAUCCUUGGACUAGGAAACGGUUUGAAAAAGUGGAUGGUCUUGGAAUCCAAUUUCCUUUGUAGGCUAAGAUGUUUUACCCAUUACCAAUUCUCUAUCUAUAUCCAUUAAGAAUUACUUGUCGACCCCAAAGUAAGCUUCUCUAAAUAUAAGAUGGGUUUGGCCCCAUUGAAGCAUUUAGAAAAUCAGUCUUCUUGAAAAUACCUAGCCUUUAAAACAGUAGCUGCAAGGGAAUCUGGAUUUUGAAUCAAUCUCUAUCCUUGCUUAGCUACCAUGACUUGGUUAAAACUUGAUAUGUCUCUAAAGCCCAUUCCCCCUCAAAUUUUAGCUUGACUCAUCUUCUCCCCUCUGAUCCAAACGAUGCCCCUUUUUUUCCUUCUUUUUAUUGCUCACUAAAUAUCAUCACACAGACCAAUAGGUAUCUUGAAGACACUCAUUGCAUAAGCUGGUUGUGCCACUACUUUUAUCAGGACAUCUUUUCCUCAACUCGAGAAAAGUUUCUGUUGCCAACUAGAGAUCUUGCUCUAGACUUUUAGCUUAAUCUUAUUGAAGAAAAUUUUCUUUUUCCUCCUUAUCAUUGAGGGCAACCCCAAGUACUUCUUAUGCUUCGUUACCACAUUGAGCUGAAAUAUUCUUUUAAUGGCCGAAAUUUGGUUUGCACAGACACUGUCGCUGAAGAACAUGCAUGACUUUUCAAAAUUAAAAAUUUGGCCAGAGGUAGUGGCAUAGCAAUCGAACAAACCUUUUAAAUGCUGGAAAUCUUUAAUUGAGGCUUUGGAAAAAAAAUUAGGCUGUCAUAUGCAAAUAAGAGGUGAGAAAUAGAGAUAUGUUGUCCAAAUUUCAACCCAUGUAUUAACUUGCUUUUCUCAGCCUGAAUCAACAAAUUUGAAAGAGCAUCUGCAUAUAUUAUAAACAGAUAAGGAGAUAAAGGGCAUCCCUGCCUCAAGCCCCUUUUAGGAAUAAUCUUGCCAUUUGGUAUUCCAUUUAUGAUUAUAGAAAAGUAUGACGUAGUAAUGCAAUUCAUAAUUAAAUUUAUCAACUUCUUAGCAAAACCUAAUAUGAUCAUUGUCUCCUUUAAAAAAUCCCACUAUGCCCUAUCAUAAGCUUUGUUGAUAUCUAACUUCAGAGCCACCAAGCCAUUUUUUUUUUCCUUUGUUAUGCCUAAUCUUAUGGUGGCAUUCAUACUCAACAAUGAUAUUAUCCAUUAUCAAUCUGUUGGGGAUAGAACCACUCUACGAAGACUUAAUUACAACAUGUAGGAUAGUUUUCAAUCUAUUUGCAAUAGUUUUACAACAAUCCUAUAAAUGAAAUUACAAAGAUUUAUUGGUCUAAAUUCAGUCACUUUCCUAAGCUUUGCAUUAUUGGCAAUUAAAGCAAUGUAUGCGUGGUUCAAAGGAGCAAUGUUACUUGCUUCAUUGAGGAUGUGAAGACAUGUGGUGAUGUUAACUAAUGGCCAGUGCUUCAAAUAAAAGGCAGCCGGUAGCCCAUCAGGGCCUAGUGUCUUGGUUAGACACAUUUGAUUUAGAGCCUCCAUUAUCUUUUCCUCUGUAUAUGGUUGAGUCAGAUACUCAUUCAUUUAAGCUAAAACUUUUGAGACCAUUUCUUUCAAAGCACACUCCAUUUGAUCUUGAGUAGGGUUGGAAGUUGAAAAUAACUCUGCAAAGUAACUGCAGAACUCUUUCUCAAUAUCUUCAUUUUCUUCUACCCAUUUUCCCUAUGCAUCUUCAACUCCUCAAAUUUUGUUCUUCCUCUUUCUAGAUGAAGCUUUUGAGUGGAAGAAUUUGGUGCUUUUAUCUCCCUCCCUCAAUCAAUCAGCCCUAAACCUCUCUCUGUUUCCAAAAGAUCUCUUCAUCUAAAAGGAGGUUAUGGAUCUGCCUCUCAAUGCUUAUCAAUUCUUCACUCCUAUCCCACUGUCCUUCAUACUAGAGCUCUUAUAUUCUGUUCAUCAGCUUCUCUAAUUUCUUCUUGCUUCCUUUAAAAGUUUUCUUACUCCAGUGUAUUAAUUCAGUUAGUGAAGAUUUGCUGGCUUGUUUAAAAAGCUGCACUGCAUUAUCCCCUGACCAGUCUUUGGUCGAUUCUGCCUUUACAAUGUUCUUACACUCAUCAUAGUUGCUCCACAUGUCUUCAUAAUAGGUUCUUGAAAAGGUUAUUUUAUUAUAUGGCUUUCUAUUGGCUCUGCUUAUCACUUCCAUCAAAAUCGAAUUGUGGUCUGAGCACCAUAUAAUCAGAUUUUUUUGCAGCUUGGUUUUAGAAAGAAUUUGUCCAAUCAUUACUACAUAAAAAUCUAUCUAGACGUUUUUCAACAAAGUGGCUACCAAAUCUCCUAUUAGACCUGUAAAAGGGUGGCUUGUAUAACCCAAAUCUUUCAAAUUGUAAUCCUGAAUAUCAUCUCGAAACUCUUUAAUCAUAUGAACCUCCAUGUCUUUUCCUCCAUUUUUUUCAUCUAAGUGCAUUAUCUCAUUGAAAUUGCCAAAGCAUAACUAAAGGGGUGAAGAUAAACCUGUUAAUCUCCUUAAUAAAGCCCAGGUGUGUUUUUUCUGACUCGUUUCUAGGUGCCCGUAGAUUCUAGUGCAUCUCAUCUACUUCCCACUUUCAGUUCUACCUCAGUAUUUAUGCGGUGUUUACUGAAAGAGGUAAUAUCUACCCUUGUUGCUGAAUUCCAAAGCAUAGCUAGACCCCCAUUCUUACCACCUCUACUAACCCAAAAAUAAUUUUCAAACUUCAGCUUCUUGCCAACAUUUUCCAUGUGUACAGAUGUCAAUUUAGUUUCACAUAGAAACAUUAAUUGAGGCGUAUACCAUGUGAGGAAUUUUUGGAGAACUAUGAACGUCCGGUCAUUCCCCAUCCCCUGGACAUUCCAGCUUAGAAUCCUCAUAGCUGUCGGCAGGGUUGGUGUUCUGCCUCCGCCGAUUGAGUUGCAUUGUUUGUGUUUUUAACAUUUUCUCCAUUCUUGAAACAACCCAGUUGAGCUUAUAGCUAAGAGGAGAUGUAUUGCAGGAGCUUUCUCUAACUAUUGAGUUUUUCUGUGGGCUUAGGAUUUGGGUUUUUUUUUUUUAUGAUUUGGGCUUGACCUUAUUACUCCACAACCUAGUCUUUUUCCCACAAUUAGCCCUUCUUUUGUGUGUCCUUUGCUACUUACACUUCUAGCUGGCAGCUUUCACUUCUUUCUCUUAGGCCUAGCAUUUUUUGUUUUCGGUCCAUCACAUACUACUUCUCUGGGCUUGAGUUGCUUUGAUAUUUUUUUGGGCUUGUAUUUAGAGUUAAUUUUGGCUUCAAAUUUAGCACCAAAUUUAACUUUAUUCCCUCUCAAUUCUCUGUUCCCACUUUUUCUCUCUUUUUUCCAUGAUUGUUUAAGUUGUCGGCUGUAUUUUCGGUAUCAGCCAUGUUAGGUUACUUUUGACCGUGUCUUUCUGAUUUCUUGGUUCUAGAGUCAUUUGUAUUAAUUACUCCCCAAUUUUCCUUGUUUAACUAUCAUGAUCUCCCCGAAAUAGAUUAGUUUGACUCGAGUUCAUGUUUAUACGGGUCUAAACCAAUUUGUUUUGCCUGUCUUCUCCCAUGGUGUUCUGCUUCCUUUGGUUCGUUUUUGAGCUGCUCAAACCUUUUAUUCCAUCUAUCUUUUCCCAUGUUCAUCCUAGUUUUUUCAACUUUGGACAAUGCCUUCAUGUACACUCCAUAGGGUAAUUUUUUUUUUUUGGUUGCCCCAUGUAUGAUUCACACUCUUUAAAUUGGUACCAAACGGUACCCCAGCAAAAGCAGAAAUCUGGGAGCCGUUCAUACAAUACUGGCAACUCCACCUUAUCAUCUUCUUCUAGCUCCAACCAUUUUCUGUAAUGGCUUUGUGAUGUCAAUGGAUAUUCUGACUCUUGCAUACAAACCAAUACACUCCCUGUCAUCAUCAUUUUCAACUUCCAACACCUCUCCAAUCAGUCCUCCCAGCUUUUGAACAUUGUCUCUCUCUAUGCAAACAAUGGGUAUAUUGUGAAUUCAUACCCAAAAAAGUGUAUGCGUGAAUUCUUCCUUUCUCAUGUUUCCUAUUCCACUGGGUUCUUUCAACACAAUCAAAGCCCUAUCGAAAUGACAUGGCUCUCCUGCCAUUAUUUUCUGUUUAUCAACUUCUAACCCAAAUUUGAACCGAAAAAUAUUGUUUCUCAUGCUCUCAAUCUUCACCUUUUUUGUUGUUUUCCAUGCUUGUGUUAAUGCAGUUUUGAUCACAUCCGUGUGGACACUCUUUGCCAAUAGAAUUUUUCCAACUAGAGAAUUUUCCAUUAUACGUCCUCUUUUUCCUUGCAUUCCGCUUCUAAUUGAUAGCUUUCGUUCACUGCCAUCUCAUAUAAAAAUAGCUUUGCAUUUACAUAUUAACUCAUCUGUGUCCAUAGAUGACGAACAACAAGUUUGCUCUUUACCUGCUAACUACCCUGUGUUUGAAUCUCGGAGUUUUACUCACUCUCACCCACUCUCUUAAAUGAACUCCCUCGAUUUUUAACUUCCUUGAUAAUUUUAAAUAAAAGACACUCAAUCUAAAAGACAUUGAAUUUGCAAAGUUUCAAUGGAAAUAUAUGUCUCUUCUUGCCAUUCUUUGCCCUCUCAACAUCGAAAAAAUUUCAUUUUAUUAGUUUUACUUUUAUGAAGAAUUUGAGUGUUCCAAAAGUAGUCAUGGCAAAUCCAACCUUUCCCACUUGUAAUCAAGCAUUUGAGUAUUAUCAUAACUUGUUUUGGAGGUAUAAGUGUUGCCGUGAAAGAUGCUAUAGGUAGCUUGCUUUGGAUUUCACUUCAUGCAAAAAUGGUCUUAAUCGAAUCAGAAACUCAUAUAGGUCUUAUUUCAUAUUAAGGUGUUCCAACUUUUAAAUUAUAGUUGUUGUAUGAAUGGUCUUAGUAAUAUGUAGUAAAAAAAAAUUUAAAAAUUUUUUUUAACAAAAUUAGUAAAUAUAUAUAAUAAAUUUUUUUAUCAUACAAGUAUAAAAUCAAAUUAACUUAGUUUCUAAGUUACAACAGCUAGUGCUUACUAGCUUUUAAGUUACAGUUGCUCAACCUCAAACCCCAAACUAGACCAUAAUUGGAAAGUACUUGACAAAUGUAUGCAACUUACUGUGCUUGUACACAAGUUCAAUUUAACAUUUCAGUAAUGUGCACGCAAAUAAAGGUUGCUCUAACUUGCUGCAAAUAAUGUAAGUUAAAAUUACAAAAGAGUGUAUUAUGCUAAAGGAUAUUCAUAAUUUUUUUAAGAAAUCAAGUUACUCUAAUUCACAUCCUUUUUUUUAAGGAUUUGCAUUCGAAUGAAAGCAUGAACGAAACAAGUAAUGGUGAGCUGGCUAUCUUCAGAAAUAAUCAUAUAUAUAAAUUUUAUUUUAUAAAAUUUUGCCAUAUUGCAAUAAUUAUAUAUUGAAGGGUCUUCAUUUGUAUAUAACACUAGGUGUUAGGUAUGUUUGCUUAUUGGUAUUUCUUUGACAAAAAUAUGUGAUAGUGCCCUUAGAAACACAGGUACAUAAUCAUCGAAAAAUCAAGUUUUCUUAAAAUUUAUGUGGAUGAUUAAUGAUGUAUCUUUUUUUAUCAGGUAUUUAAUUCAUUUGUAUAUGCAAAGGCCAUAUCUAUAAAUCAAGAUAAAUAUUUACGAGAAACAAAAAUGAAAGUGAAACAGAAUUAAAUUCAAGUUGUCCAACGAGAUAAAUAAUGAGUCCUAAUUCUCUUAUUCAUAUUUCCCUUAGAAACCCGGAUACUUCAUUAUAUAUUUCCAUCAGCCCAUAUAUUUCUUAGAUAUGAUUUUUUUUUCACUUCUUCAAAAGGAGCUACAUGUUUCUUACUUUGCAAAGGAUCCUGGCACAGAACGAGCAAGCUUGUGUGGACAUCCCUGACUGUUGGUAGGGAAAUUUAUGCCAAAAUGGGGAAACUGCAGAAUGGAUUGCAAGUGAUUCUAUUGUACUAGUUACCAAAAUAGGAUACUUAUGACAGCGGUUGCUGAUUUUUCCACGUGUUCAUAUUUCUUCCAAUAUAACCCAAGUAGUUCAUAACAUUGUAUAUAAUGAUGUAGUUCGACAAGUGUUGCGUAAGAAUCACAACAAUGCAAUUGCAUCCAUAUUGAAUAGGGGUGGGCACAAUUGGGUUUGAAUCAAUCCAAUCGGAUUUCGAGUUAGUUGGAUUGAGAAAAAAGUUAUUCAAACUCAAUCCGAACUGGAAUAUGAUCUAAUCUAAUCCGUAUGUAUUCGGAUUAGAUCAAAAGUUCGGGUUUAGUUCAAGUUGACUGAGCUAGGAUUAUAAACGGAUCGAAUUGUGUUCGGUUUAAAAUUGGACUUGGGUCGAUUCGAGUCAUGGGCAAUUUUGAGCUUUUAUUUUGUAUAUUUUGAGUUUUCUUUACAAAUUAUGUAGUUACUAGAAAAUUAUUUUCAUAUAAUUAUCUCAUUUUAGUCUGUUUUUACCAAUUCUAAAAAAAAAAUGAAAACUACUAGUCUACUACCAUUAAAAUCAAAUGUAUACAAAUUAAAAUAAACACAAAUUCUAAAUUUAAUAGCCUCCACCCAAAGCACGAUAUUCAAAUAUAAAUAGCCUUCAAAACACAAAGAUCACAAAGUUUAAAUAUAAUUAAAUAGUUUCCAAUACAAAGUCUAAAAAUAAAUUGUUUCUUAAACAACAAAAUCUAAACAUAAAUAUUAAAUAACCUUCCUUCACGUAAAUAUUUGGACAAGUUCUAACUUCAACUUCUUGUAUUCGAAGUUGGAGGAUGGAUCGCCUAGAGAAGAAUUGAAGAGAAAAAGUAAAUUAAAAAAUUACAAAUUUAUGCAAAGAUAUUGAUUUACUUUUCUUUUCUUUUCUUUUUUGCUAUUGGUGAAUUUGAAUGCAACUGUUGGAACUUGGAAUAUAGAUCAUUCAUGUAUGUAUCAAACAAAUAAUUGAACCACUUGUCAUCCACUCAUCCUAUCGUUUAGCCAAAACCAUGUUACUUGCAAUUCCUUCACCAUCCUCAACUAUCAACUUCUGCUGAUUUUCAUCUUGUUGUUGUUGGAAUGUCUUGUAUAUGUUAUAAAUUUUUAUAUUAUUUCUCAGAUUGGUAAUCUCCUCAUGCCUUGAAUGGCAUUGAUAGUGUUUACCACAAUAGUUGCACUAGCAUUUGUUUGAAUUGUCCUUAAAUAAAGUGAGAUGAUUCCACAUUAGAAAUCUUUUUUUUCAUUUGCUGUAUUUUUCGCCUGCUUCGCCUUUUCCCUCCCUUUUUGAUUUCCUUUUAGUUGUUCACUUUGUUCCUCAUCAUCAAUUGUGAAAUUUAAUCUUGAGUGUCUAGUCACUUGAACAUACAAAAAAAUGAAUAGUCAUCAUUAAUUCAAAACAUAAAACUAUUAAAAUAUCACCACAACACUCACAAUCUCAAACAUCCUCAGUACAUUUAAAAAUGAGUGCUGCUAUUUACCCCGAAUUUGCACCCCGAAAUCAAAACGCACCGUUUGCUCUGAGUUAAUCACGGGUCCAUUAUCUUGCUUUAUAUAAAGGAAAGGAAAAAGCUGGGGAAAGAAAAAGCAAAAGCAAAGUUGUUUCUUCACGUGUUUCUUCAGUCAACGUGUGGGCCUAACUAGAAAAUUUGUUGUGUCCAGCUGUGGUCUGCUAAUUUUACUUUGCUUUGCUAUUUUUUUCAUUCUUUGUUAUUUCCUUCUUUGUAUCAGAUGAUGAUACAUGCAUCAAACACAAUAACGAAAAUUGAACGAGAGUAAGAGAACGAACCAUCGAUCAAGAGUUGAGGGAAGAGGGGAAAAAAAGAGAUUGAAUUAAGAUGCAAGUGGCGUGGUUGAGUGGAUUUGAAACCAAAAAUGGAAUGAAAUCCUCCUGACUUAACAAACGAAUCUGCCUGAAGAAAAAGAGUGCUGCUAACUGGAAAGAGAAAUGGAAAGUGAAAGCAAAAUGUUUACCUUGCUUUACGGGCCUAACUAGAGAAGUGGAAAGUGAAAGCAAGGAAGUAGAAAGUGAAGGCAAAAUGAAGCAACACGUGUAGAGAGAAAAAAGUAAACGGUGUGUUUUGAUUUCGGGGCGUAGAUUCGAGGAGCAAAUUCGGGAUAAAUAGCUUUUCCUUUAAAAAUCACAAAUAAUAAUAAGACUAGGAUAAUUGUGCUAAAAAUAAUUAACAAUACAAUUUCAAUUAAUAAAUUAAUUAGUCUCAAUCUAAGCAAAAAACAAUGAAACGGAAUUUUACAUGAUGAUUAUUUAGGAAUAAAAUUUUAACAUACAUUUUCUUAUAUAAAUUUAUAGGGUUUGAUUUGUAUUGAAAUUAAAAUUAAAAAAUAUGAUCUCUAUACUCCUAUUCACUAAAUUACUAAUUCUAACUAAAAUCAUGGAUAAAUUGUGACUUUUUCUUGCUGAGUAGUCUUAUUAAGCAUACAAAAAUCAUUGAACUUGAAAAGUUAUAAACGUAAUAGAAAUUUGGAAAUUAAUUAUUUAAUAUAAUAUAUAUAGUAUAGUAAUGUUCAUUGAAAAAAGUAAGUUGGAGGAACUUAAUGGCUAUCGAUCAAGGUGGAGCAAGUUGCAGCAGUGGUCAUGGUGUAUUGUGUCAGCAUGUCAUAGACUCACGAUGGCCUGGCUUCAUGCAGUUGCGUUGGUGAGUCAGUGACUACUGUUGUGUGUGUGUUGUCUGGUGAGUCUACUGUGUUGUGUAUCUUGUCAUGCAAACUGCUAUGCCAAUUACUAUGCUGCCACUGAUUUGUAGGUAUGCAUGAAUGCUUAGUACAUGUGUGGUGCUUUUUUUUUAAAAAAAAGAAAGUAAACCUUUCACAAAUCACAAUACAUCAAAUACAACUUGAAUCUUAGUUGGGAUAGUUCCUAACCAGAUAGAAGAAGAGUUUCUCCCCAAAGCUAACUUAACUAAGGAAUGGGCAUAAGCAUUACAUUAUCUUGGAGUAUGAUGGACUGAAACUUUAUGAAAAUCCUUCAACUAAUUUUGGAUCUCUAGAAUUGUCCAAAAUUUUUUUGUUUUGCUACCCUUAGUGUUGUUUACUAACUGGACCAACUCUAAGCAAUCUGACUCAAUGAUCAAGGAGGCUAAAUUUGCUUCUCUCGACACUUGAAUUCCACAUAACAUAGCCUCGGCCUCUACAUUACUUACCGUUCCCUUUAGAGAAGAUUGAUUGAUGCCAGCUGCAAUUACCUUGCCGUUUGUUCCUCUGAUGACUACUCUCACUCAUGUAGUCUGAUCCUUGGCAUUAAUGGCAGCGUCGACAUUAACUUUGAAGACAUUUUCGGGGAGGGGGGGGAAUCCACUUCUGCAGCUUCUCUCCACUGGAGUAGGCAAUAUGAGAGGGGUAUGUCUUCCUUACUCUUUGAAAUGCAUCCAAAAUAGACUUUGCCUUUGCAGUUGAGAUAUUGAGGGCUAUCUUCUUGCCUUCGAAAAUAAAUUUGUUUCUAGAAAACCAGACAGCCCAACACAAAGCUACCAUUAAUUCCAAAUCAGCUUUCCUUAACUCAUUGGCCAUUCCUUGCAAAAUGCUAAAAAUGUCCUGAGAAUGAUCUUUAAAGCUUGGAACUGUAAAGGGAGAUUGUAGCCAGAUCGAUUUUGCUGCCUUGUACUCCAAUAAGGCGUGGCUUAUAGAUUCUAUGCUCUUUCUACAUAUUUGACAAGUUGGCUCUUGAAUGACUUUUCUUUUCCACAUAUUUUCUGUUGAUGGGAGCAAAUUGUUUGAUGCCCUCCACAUGAAUAUUUUUAUUUUUUCAGGUAGCUCCAGGGACCAAAGGGCACUCCAAUACUGAGACAUGCUCUCUAAGCUACUAGGAGCAUUUGGAAAUUUCAUUCUUAAGGCUAGCUGGUACCCACUUUUGACCGAGUAUUCUCCCCUUUUAUCAUAAUGCCAUAAAACAUCAUCAUCCAAAUGUUCUUUUGGGAGAGGAAUCUUAAGAAUCAUUGCUGCAUCUACUUUCAUAAAGUGUUAGUUCAAAUUGUCUUCAUCCCAAUGGUUAUCUUCCUUAUUUAGGUUUGCCACCACUAUGUCUGCUCGCAAAGUAGGGGGGCGAUUGGCUUGAACGUAUCCGGCCUUGGCAGCCAAUUAUCCUUGUAAACAUAUAUGUUCUUGCCAUUGCCCACCCGCCAUCUAAAACCUUUCUUGAUUACUUCUCUGCCCCAAAGAAUGCUUUUCCAGAUGAAUGAAGCAUUGGACCCUACUGAUGCACCUAGAAAGCUGGAGUUCUUGUAAUAUCUUGCUUGAAGGACUCUUGAGACCAGAGAAUUUGGGUACUGCAAAAACCUCCAAGCUUGCUUUGCCACCAAGGCUUAGUUAAAGCUAGUAAAAUCCCGAAAUCCCAUCCCACCUCUGUUUUUUGCAUGGCUGAGCUUUUCCCAUUUUAACCAAUGGAUACCUUGCUUAACUUCCUUCGUUCCCCACCAAAACUUCGCUAUAGCCCGUUGAAUGUCAUCACAAAGACCUCUCGGAAGCUUGAACACACUCAUUGCGUAAGCUGGGAUAGCUUGGGCUGCCGCUUUAAUAAAGAUUUCCUUACCCCCACUCGAAAACCUUUUAUGCUGCCACCAUGUGAUCUUGUUUAAAACUUUUAGCUGCUGCCACCAUGUGAUCUUGUUUAAAACUUUUAGCUUUACUUCAUCGAAAAAGCUUAGCUUCUUUCUUCCUAUCAUUGAGGGGAGGCCUAAGUAUUUUUCAUGCUUGGAGACCACAUUUAACUUGAAAAUGUCUUUAAUAGCAGUUGGAUUGUUGUCGAAAAUCUCCUUCAGAUGCUUACAAUCAGCCACUGAAGCACGAUAAAAAACUAGGUUAUCAUUCGCAAAUAGCAAGUGGGUAAUUGAGACUUCUUUUGCAAAUUUCAGACCUUGGAUUAGCUGAUUCUUUUCCGCCUUCACCAGCAUAUUGGAGAACGCCUCAGCACAGAUGAUAAAGAGAUAUGGAGAUAGCGGGCAGCCCUGCCUCAGACCUCUUUCCGGCUGAAUCAUUCCCUUUGGCACACCAUUAAUAAUCACCGAGAGUGAGGCAGUAGAGACACACCUCAUAAUCAAAUCCACCCAAUUAGGUGAGAAACCCAGCCUUAACAAUGUUUGAUUAAAAAAAGACCACUCAAGUCUAUCAUACGCCUUACUAAUAUCUAGCUUAAGAGCCACAAGAUCGUUCCUCUUCCAUUUACAGUGUCUUAUCUUAUAGAGGCAUUCAUAACCAAUAAUAACGAUGUCUAUAAUGAGUUUAUUGGUUAUAAAUGCACUCUGCAUUGGAGAAAUGAUUUGGGAGAGGAUCAGUUUCAUUCUAUUUGCAAUAGCCUUAACUACGACUUUAUAAAUUACAUUACAAAGGCUUAUGGGCCUGUAAUCAGAGACUCUCCCAGGCUUAGCAAUUGUAGGGAUCAAGGCGAUAAAAGUAUGGUUAAGAGGAGACGGGUUACCUUGCUCAUUAAGGAUAUGAAGACAUGUUGUAACAACUCUAUUGCGAAUUAAUUUCCAAUGCUUCUGAAAAAAUACAGCAGUUAAGCCAUUUGGACCUGAGGCUUUUGUGGGGCACAUAUGUCCUAGCCUCCUCUAUAUCCUUUGGAGUGAAGGGCUUCUCCAGCUGGGCAUUCAUUUCUGAUGUUACUUUUGUCGGCAUUCCUUGAAGAGCAGCUUGAAUUUGGCUUGGAGUUGGGCUGGAUGUAGUGAAGAGUUCUUAAAAGUAACAGCAGAAUUCCUUUUCUAUAUCAUCUAUCUCCCUUAGCCAGACGCCUUGAGAGUUUUCUACCCCCCACACCUUAUUCUUUUUUUUACGGGCAGAAGUCUUGGCAUGGAAAAACUUAGUGUUUUUGUCUCUUUCUCUUAGCCAGUCAGCCCGCGAUCGUUGCUUCCAAUAGAUCUCCUCGUCAAUAAGCAUGGAAUUGAUAUAGCUUUCAAUCUUCCUGAUCUCCUCUCCAUCAGUCAGUUUAGAGCUUCCUUGCAUAGCAUUCUGAAGGCUCUGAAACAACUUUUCUUGUUUUCUUUGUCUUCCUUCAAAUUCGUUUUUACUCCAAAGUUUAAGCUAAGCUAAAGACUUUUUUGCUAUCCACUGAAAUUGGUGAGCAGGAUCCUCCCAAGCUCUAGCCCCAUAGUUUCCCCACUCAUCCUUUACUAUGCUCCUACAGUCUUCGUAAGAACUCCACAUAUCCUCAUAGUGGUCACGGGGAAACGAUCUGCUCACAGUCCUCGACUUCUUGCAUCUCUAUUUGAAUUCUAAGACUAUUGGGCAGUGAUUUGAGACCCAAUUAACAAGGUUUAUGGCUGUAGAGUCUUAAAAUUUGUUGCCUCAAUCCUUACUACACAAGAAUCUGUCCAGCCAUUUUUCUAUGUAAUUAGAACCAAAUCUCUUAUUAGACCAUGUAUACGGGUACCCCUUGCAGCCCACAACCUCUCUAAACUCGACAACCACAUUUACAUUCUUCUCGUUGCUCCCAUUUUUCUCAAACAUAUGCAUCACUUCAUUGAAAUCCCCAAAGCAACACCAAUGGUGGGACGAAAGAUUAGCUAACCUUUUUAGAAGGGUCCAUGUGCUGCGCUUCUAGCUGAGCUCUAGGUGGCCAUAAAUCCCCGCACAUCUCCAAACCAAGCCACUUUCACUACUCACUAUUGCAUCUAUAUGGUGGGGCCUGUAUGAGGUGAUAUUGACAUUAAUGUCUGCUCCCCAGAGCAUAGCUAGGCCUCCACCCAAACCAUUUCUGUCCACAGCAAAACAAUUUACAAAAUUAAAACUUCUGUAAAUUAAAUUGACCUACCUAGCCAUCAUCUUAGUUUCACAACAAAAUAGUAUUUGGAGCCGGUGCAGUUAUAGAACUUUUCUAAUUGCUAAGUGCGUUUGAGGCUUCCUCAGACCUCGAACGUUCUAGCUGAGGAUCUUUAUGGUUGUCGGCGAGGCUGAUCAUCAGUACCCGCCAAUAGGUCUUCAUCCAUUGCUUCCAAGUUUUCCCCUGCAUCUAGCACUUAUUCUGCUUGCUUCAGCUAGCGAGCUACUUUGUUGGGGCUAAAAUGGUUGCAGUUGCCUAAUGCUUUUGCUAGGCUUAUGUGUUUUCCUUCCUACAGUUGCUUUUUUGGACUGGACACUCACUUCUUUUUGCUCUCUGGGCUAGGCCCAUGACCUUCACUGUUGUGUCUUUUACUUCCUAUGAAAGUAAUAUUAUUUGCUCCUUCUCCUUUGGUGUUUCUUGCCCGUAAUUUCCAUUUUCUUCCUUUGGAUUUCACGGUGGCCUUGCUGGCCCCAUCAUCCAAAUCCUCUUCAUCUGAUCUGGCACCCCAUGUGUCCUCCUCCAUUUUAUUUUCCAUCUUCCCCACAUUAUCUUUUUCUACAAGAUUUUCAUUUUCCCUCCAAUCCUUCUUUUCUGCCUUUUUUUGCGUUCAUAUCUAGAUUGGCACCACCCUGCAAGAUUUUCAUUUUCAUUACUAGUCACUCUGUCCUGCAACUUGUUGAUGUCACCACCCUGCUUUAAUGCACCACUUGCUGGUUUUCCUGCUAUGUUACACUCAACAUUAGAUGCUGCCCAUCAGCUCUUGGUUCCUUGUUUUUACCCACUGGUUCAUCACCAUUAUCUAUCUCCGGACCCGAUUCGAUCAGGUAAGACCCAUUUUGACUAUCCGAGUUGUUUUGAGACUGGUAUGGCCUUAGGCUAGUUGUUGCUGAAUCAUUUGCUCUGGAAUGGAAUUGUUCUCAAUUGCCUUUCCCUUUACUUCGAUUUUGUUUUACCCUUUCAGCCUGAGUGACUGCUCUCAUCCAUCCCCGUAAGGCAGAUCCUCCUUUUGUUGUCCUUUGUACCUCAGGCACUCUCUGUACUGAUGACCUACAUGCGCGCAACAAAAGCAAAAGUCCGGUAGCUUUUCAUACAGGAUUGGCAUUGGAAUUUUUCCUUCAUCUUGUUGUAAAAACACAAUCUUUUUUAAUGGCUGAGUAAUGUCAAGGGAGAUUCUUACUCGAGCAAAUUGUCCUAUGCAAUCCCCGGCUUCGUCUGUCUCUAUUUUCUUGACCUCACUAAUCUUUUCACCUAGUUUUUCAAUUGCCUCCUUGUUCAUGCACAUUAUGAGUAUAUUUUGGAUCUGCACCCAAAAUGUUGUAUGCGUAAAGAAUUGAUUUUUGAUAUCACCAAUGUCGGAUGGUUCGAUCAAAACUAUCAGUGCUCUGUCAAAAUGCCAUGGCCUUCCUAUAAGCAGUCUUUUCUUUUCUUAUUCUGAAGCAAACUUGAAGAGAAGAAUAUUAUCCCCCAUGCUUUUAAUUUUUACCUCCUUCACUAUUCUCCAAGCCGUUUGCAUAGCUGUUUUCAAGCCUUCCCAGUUUAUGCUUCGUGAAAGCAACACCUUCCCUACUAGACAAUUCGCAGCAACUUCUUCUCCCUUAAUCCUCAUUUGCCCCAUGAAUGCUACUAUGCCUGCUUCUUCUUCUUUUAGAACGACAGCCUGACACUUGCGCAAUAAAUCCUCUGUAUCCAUACUUAGCUCUGAAUCCACCUACCCUCUAUUAUCCGCAAAUAAAAGCUAAAAGAAGGAGUCAAUCACCCAAAUUCCUUCAAGAAGUACUAUGGAAAAUUGUAAAAGAACACCCAACUAGUGAGCGAAUGAAAAAGCCAAAAUAGGCUUCAGUCUCCUUUCAUUCUAGUACCUUUCAGAGAAAAAGUACUAUAAAAGAAAGAGUAUAUGUGUCAUUGUUAUUCUGUACAUGUGUGGUGUUAAUCGAAUACAAUUAGGUUUAGUUUUACUCUUUUAUAGUUUUAGAUUAAAUAUUUAUUUUAGAUACGAACCUUGACCAAUUCAAAUCAAUUCUACUAACUGAUUUUUAAUCCAAAAUAAUAUAUAUAUUUAGUUUUCAUCAAACGGCUGAGAAAUGGGCCAAGCCCGUAUGCACACGUGUGAAGACCUGUUUUAUGUUUUGUCAAUUUGGAGUAGUGCAAGUAUUUUGAAAUUAACUGAAGGGAAAGCUAAGUGCGUAUUCAAACAUGCUGGUGAUGAAUUGCUCCAUGAUAAUUCGUUUUCCAAUUUAUGAGACGAAAGGAUGGUUUUGAGUUUGAUACCACAAUGCCUCGUCUUUCUUUUAUCCUUGUGAUUUUUGAGAAUUGCAGUCUCAAUUGGAAUGAGAGAGGAAGUGUAUGUGAAACGUAUAGGUAUAGAGCUUGGCCUUACGCCAAUACAAUUUUAUUGAGAUAACCUAUAUUGGCUUUUACAUAAACACAGUACAUGUAUAAAAAUUCAGAAAACAAGAUUAAAUCUGAGAGAAUGCUUUAUCAAUCUAAUGCUUUUUCUUGGUAACAUAAGAAGAGGUGUCGAGAAAGGGAUAAUCCGUGUAACCAACAACAGGAUCGGAAACAUAGAAUGUUUCUCUGUUGUACUUAUUGAGGGGGGCAUUGAACUCAAAUCUCCUGGGUAAAUCUGGAUUAGCCAAGAACAAGCGACCAUAAACAACAAGAUCUGCACGGCCUUCAGCAAUAGCUUUGUUUCCAUCUUCCCUGUCAUAACCCCCAGCGACAAGAAAAGUACCCUUGAAAGCCUUUCUCAUGGGCAGCAAACUGUGAGGACAUUCAGAUUUUUCUCCAACUGUUUUCAUCCUCGGAUCAACCAUGUGACAAUAGAGGAUACCAUAUUUGUUCAAGGAUUCUGCCAUGUAAAGACCUAAAGCUUCUGGGUUAGAGUCUCCUGAUUCCAUAUAGUUUGCAAACGGAGAUAGUCUUAUCCCAACCCUAUCUGCCCCUAUUUCAUUGGAAACAGCUUCAACUAUUUCUAAAGCAAAACGGCAACGGUUCUCUAAGGAUCCUCCAUACUGGUCUGUUCGAUCAUUCACUUGAUCCUUCAUAAAUUGGUCAAUUAGGUAGCCAUGUGCACCGUGGAGCUCAAUGCCAUCGAAACCUAUACAGCAUAAGACAAAGUUAGAAACCAAAAACCUGUACAGCAUGAACACUCCAUUUAUCUAACUCUUCUCAUAUAACUGAAAGCUCUGAGGCUCGCAUUGUGCGGACAGACAGACGGAGGGUCUAGCUUUCAUUUUAAGAACAAGAAAAAGUAUUUAAGCAUUUACUAGGUUGGCUCUCAAAGUUAAGGUUUAAGUUUUCAAAUUCUUUAUUCAAUAUGAUAAAUACAACUAUGGGACAAUAAGCAUAAUUGUAAAGAAACUUAAUUGUUUUCACAUAAACCUUACAGUACAAUAAAACAACAUUAUUUACAAGCCACAAAAGCCUAGUAAAAAUCUAUUAAUGCAUUUAUGUUUAGUUUCCCUUUCCUUCUGAUAGCCAUGCAUGGAAUGGAAGAAUCUCACUAUUCUUUUAUACUAUUUUCCUUAAUCUCAAGAAAAGUAGACCAUUGAAAUAUCACCCAUCCUGUGGCGACCUUAAAACACUUAUUGCCCACAAUUCAAUUUUUAAUUUCAGAAAAAAGAAUUUACCAGCCUCAAUUGCGUUUCUUGCAGCAAGCCUGAAAUCAUUCACAAUUUGAGGGAUUUCAUCUGUCCUUAGCCGCCUUGGACGAGUGAAUUGUGCAAUAUCAACACCAUUAGCGCGGAUUUGAGGUGUCAAUGGCUUGUCUGUACUGGAAAUUGGAGCUUGACCAUUUGGCUGAUAAUCUGUACAGUUCGAAGACAGGAAAAACCAAUGAAGAUCCAGUUGAAAUGAUUCUCAAAUUUCUAUAAAAUCAGUCAGAUCCAUCACAUGGAGGUUUUAAAAAAACUAUUGAAUGUCAUUUUAUUAACUGAAAAUAAAAUGCAAAAGGAUGGUGCAUCUGUAGGAUGAUCAGUACUCAAUUUGAGCAUUUGAUUAAUCCGAGCUGCUUAUUCUCUCAACACUUGCCUCAUAUUAGAUUACUGCAAUUCAAUAGCUUAAGCUCACGGUACCUUAUCUUAUUGUCAGAAAUAAAAUGUAUGUAUGAUCCUGAUAACUAAGUAACCAGUAACUGUCAAUAGAAGAGAGAGAUAUAGAACACACCUUGAUUUGAAACCCUGCCAACGUGCCAAAUCUGACAAAAGAAGGUCCCACCUUUGGCAUGAACAGCAUCUACAAUUGGUUUCCAUGCUUCAACUUGCUCCUUUGUCCAGAUACCAGGCGUAUCUGGAUACCUUACAAUAAAAGAAAUAACAGAACACACAAGAUUUUCAAGCAACUAAAUACAGGUAAUGCUUUCGAAACUCAAACAUACAAUUUCCUAUCUAUUUAAUGCCUCAAAAAACUCUUAAAACAGUUAAACGGAUGUAAAAUUACCCUUGAGCAGUGUCGGAAACUCCAGUGGCUUCGGCUAUAAGCAAACCCCCUUUGGUGGUUCUUUGAGAGUAAUACAAAAUGGCAUGUGGCUGAGGAACAUUGUUGUAUGAUCUCUGUCUAGUCAGUGGUGCCAAAACAACUCUGAAAUAAACAAAACAAGCAAGCCGCAAUUCAAUUAGCCCCAUCACCAAUAACUCAAACUCAAAAGAAAAAAACCCAUAAAAUUGCAACAUUACACUUAAACUGCCUCUGUAAAACUCUCAGUCAGAUCAUAGACCAAACGAACAAAUACAAAGAAGAUACAGAAACUAAAUCAGAUCAUACAUUCUAAUCAGUUAAGGGUAUUAUAAGUUAAUAACCGGGCGUGCUUCUGCUUAAUUACCAAAAUAGGACAGUUAAAAAGUGUUCCGUAAACACCAACAGUUUUACUCGAUAGCUACUGAUUCACUCCACAUAGAGACUGUGAAUUAAAAACCACAGUAACUAAAUCCCAAAUAUUUCCUAAUCCAUUCCAAAUAUUCACUAAUCCAUUCAUUCUAAAUGGACAAGGAUUCAGUGGUCCACUGCGUUUGCGCUGAGCCCUGGAUAAACAGUGAGAAUCUGAGUGCUCAUGAUGUGAAUGCUCGCCACUCAAAUGUACUUUGGCAGAUAUCACUUUCGUCAAUAAAGUUAACGCCAUACAAAAAUCCAUACAGCGAAAGAAAAUGUAAAUCCAAAAAAAUAAAAAUAAAAAACUCAAUGAAAUAAAAGGUGGGUACAAUCGGUACCUAUGAGAAAGAUUGAGACUGCCCAUAUUGUAAGGAGUGAGAAGAGGGAUGAUGGGAGUUUCAAUGGCCAUGUUACCGUUGUUCUCUUCUUGAUUUUGCUUAGUCUCCUCUGCUCUGCUUCCCAUGUUUAGUAGAAUUACAAGCAAAUUGAGAAUCCUUAACGCGACUGAAAAUAAAAUGAUUAAAGAAACGGAAGGGUUCAAUUGGGUAUUUAUAGAUCGGAAUGGGUCGACCGUUUUGGAAUAUAAAAAAAUUCCACGAGGGUCGAGUCAGUCUCCAUUGCCAUUGGAUUCAAUGUUCACAUAUGUUUAAAAUGCUUUUAAUCGCUGGCACGUGACGUUUGCAAGUACGUAGCCGGCUGCUGUUGCCUGUCUUUGAACAGCUAACCAAUAUGCUUUUAUUUUUAAUAAUGAGAUUCUAAGGGCUGUUUGGAAUUAUUGUUGAGAAAUUUAAAAAUAAUUUUUAAAAGUUAAUAGUUAAAGAUGUUAUUUAAGUUGCAUAUAUAAGAAAGCCUAAUUUUUAGAUAUCUCCCUAUUAUUAUUCUCAUUCAUAAUUAUCCAGAAGGGAAAUUAUCCACCGUCCAUCCGUUUUUUCACCAUUUUUUAAAAAUACGCAAAUCUUUUUUUUUUUUUUUACAGCGCUCCACUUGAAGUUAAUAUUUUUUUUCAUUGGUCCACUUUCGUUAUAACACCGUUAGAACUUUGCUAACAUCAUAAGGGUAAAAUUAUCAUUUCACAACAACAUGGUGGUGGACAAAUGCAAACCAAUAUAACUUCAAGUAGGGUUAAGCAAACAAAAAAUUAAGAAUUGUGUAUUUUUGAAACAAUACGAAAAAAAAGUGGUCGGUGGAUAAUUUAUGUUUUACAUUUGAGGGUAAAAAAAUUAUUUAUACAAUAUUCCGUUAGUUUUCUUAACAGUCUCCAAACGGAAGUGGACGAGUGAAAAGAAAUAUAAAUUCAGGUGGAUUCCAGCAAAAAAAAAAAAAAAGAAUUGUGUAUUUUUGAAAAAAUUGAAAAAAACGGAUGGACGGUCGAUAAUUUCCCUAUCCAGAAAUUAAGAUUUUUUUCUUAGUAAAAAUCUAUAUUUGAUAAUUUUCACCUCGAAAAUAAAAUUCGUUUCUUUGUAAAAAUUUCAUAUAUGACAAUCUUCACAUACAGUAGAAUUCAUAGUUUUACCAAUUAAUUCUUUAUUUUGUUAAUCUUUCCAGAGGAAAAAAAAGUACUUUCAUACUUAUAGCUUAUUUUUUUGCACAGAAGGUGUAACUUAAAAGGUAUAAUACCUCAAUCCCAAACAUGUCUUACCUUAGUGUUAAAUGGCUGUAAGCUUGGGUUACCAACAAACAUGAUGUUACCUUCUUUGAAACAAUUAUAUUUGUCGUCAGUUGAAGCGGAUGAUCAUGUUAUUAAAAAUUUAAUUGCUAGGUGUUUGUGAUUGAGGUUAUAAGUCUCAGAUAUUGGAGAUGGUUAAAGGUCUCGAGUUAGUUGGUCUUAGUAAACUCAAUGAGAUCAAGAUAUGGAACAAUUAACAUGAGGAUCUUAAACUACUAGCAAUCAGAGGAUUGAUUGUCCAUUCAAUUCACAUUAGGAAGUUCCUGUUUGUACCAUUUGAGAUCAGCAUAGCCUUUUCUAAGAAUCUUAAACCCUUGAAAUUUAGCAUGGCUUCCAUAACAGAUUCAAGAGCGGCUUUAGUAUUAAGUUAACUAAAUGAUGCUCCAAUUUUUAGAAAGACCCCUAUAUUUGAAAUUUAUUUGAUUAAAACACUAAUGAAUAAUUAUUCUUCUAACAUUUCAAAGAUGUUAUUUAAGUUGCAUAUAUAAGGAAGUCUAAUUUUUAGAUAUCUCCAUAUUAUUACUCCCAUUAAUAAUUAUCCAAAAAUUAAGAAUUUUUUCUUAAUAAAAAUUCUAUAUUUGAUAAUCUUCACAUCGAAAAUAAGAUUCAUUUUUUUAUAAAAAUUUCAUAUAUGGCAAUCUUCACAUACAGUAGAAUUCGUGGUUUUACCUGUUUUUUUUUAUGGGAAAGUAAAACUUUCAUUAAUUCAACAAAGUGAAAACUUACAAAAUUUCAGGAGGAAAAUUCUCCACCCAAACAACAGAUUUAAAUUUUUCAAUAGCCAUCUUAGUCAAAGAUUGGGCACACUCAUUAAAUGAUCUAGGGACAUAUUGUGCUUUAAAGGCUUUGAAAUUCUUUUUUAAAUCUUGAAUUUCCGCAAUGACCAAAUAUAUUUCUGUUAGGCUGCCUUCUCUAUUGUUUAUCAAUUCUGGUACUUCAUGAGAAUCAGUUUCUAGGAUAACUGACUGUAGACCUGCUUCCUGUGCUAUUUUAAUGCCCUACUCAGUUGCUUCUACUUCCACAUAUGUUACAUCUCUCCCAAACCUUGAGGUUUUUAUAGCUGCAACUAAGCACUUUCCAGUGGAGUCUCUGAUUAUUGCUCCCAAUCCCGAGCAUUGUCUUUUGGUGUUAGUAGUUGCAUCAACAUUUAUCUUUAGCCAUCCAUCGGGUGGAGGGGUCGAGGAUUUUGGUUUUUCCUUCUGCAUUUUUCCCAGAUUCAACAUCUCUGGAAAUUUUGUUCUCCUAAAAACUUCAUUGACUGUUUCAUCUUUGGCCAUUUGCAAUCCUUGAUCCAACUUUACACCUUCAAAUACAAAUUUAUUCUGAGCAUGCCAAAUCACCCACCACAUUGACACCACAAGCUCAAGUUCAACUUUACUUAAUUUCUUAUGAAGCAUCAUCAAAUCCCCCAAGAGGUUUGCAUUUCUCAUCUGUUGAAUUGCAUUCACCAUUGAUGAAAGCUGCCAAACCUUUCUUGCUGCUUUGCAAGUGACUAGGGCAUGCAUAGUAUUUUCCACUCUAUUUCUACAAUGCUUGCUGUGACCUUCCUGAAUAAUUCUACGCUUCCACAAAUUCUCAGCUGUCGGUAGUAAUUUUUUAACUCCUUUCCAAAUGAAAAUCUUGAUCUUUUUUGGGAUGGUAAGGGUCUAUAUGAUAUUCCAAUUUCUACCUUUACUGUUGGAGCAAUUUGGUGAAUUCAAAAAAUUUCAUAUUUAUAGCCACUUGGUAUCCACUCUUGACUGAGUAUUUCCCUCUUUUGUCAUAAUGCCAGAUGGCUUGGUCUUUGCUUCGUCCUUUUGGCGAAGGAAUGCUGAGAAUUGCAUCUACAUCUUCCUUUAAAAACAUCUUUUGGAUCAAGUCAGUCUUCCAUAUGCUUUCAUUGUCUAUCAACUCUGAAACAAUAGCAUCGAAAGGCAUCCUUGGACUAGGAAACGGUUUGAAAGUGGAUGGUCUUGGAAUCCAAUUUCCUUUGUAGGCUAAGAUGUUUUACCCAUUACCAAUUCUCUAUCUAUAUCCAUUAAGAAUUACUUGUCGACCCCAAAGUAAGCUUAUCUAAAUAUAAGAUGGGUUUGACCCCAUUGAAGCAUUUAAAAAAUCAAUCUUCUUGAAAAUACCUAGCCUUUAAGACAGUAGUUGCAAGGGAAUCUGGAUUUUGAAUCAAUCUCUAUCCUCGCUUAACUACCAUGACUUGGUUAAAACUUGAUAUGUCUCUAAAGCCCAUUCCCCCUCAAAUUUUAGCUUGACUCAUCUUCUCCCCUCUUAUCCAAACGAUGCCCCUUUUUUUCCUUCUUUUUAUUGCUCACUAAAUAUCAUCACACAGACCACUAGGUAUCUUGAAGACACUCAUUACAUAAGCUGGUUGUGCGACUACUUUCAUCAAGACAUCUUUUCCUCAACUCGAGAAAAGUUUCUGUUGCCAACUAGAGAUCUUGCUCUGGACUUUUAACUUAAUCUUAUUGAAGAAAUUUUUCUUUUUCCUCCUUAUCAUUGAGGGCAUCCUCAAGUACUUCUCAUGCUUUGUUACCACAUUGAGCUGAAAUAUUCUUUUAAUGGCUGAAAUUUGGUUUGCAUAGACAUUGCCGCUGAAGAACAUGCAUGACUUUUCAAAAUUAAAAAUUUGGCCAGAGGCAGUGGCAUAGCAAUCGAACAAACCUUUUAGAUGUUGGAAAUCUUUAAUUGAGGCUUUGGAAAAAAAAAUUAGGCUAUCAUAUGCAAAUAAGAGGUGAGAAAUAGAGAUAUGCUGUCCAAAUUUCAACCCAUGUAUUAACUUGCUUCUCUCAGCCUAAAUUAACAAAUUUGAAAGAGCAUCUGCACAUAUUAUAAACAGAUAAGGAGAUAAAGGGCAUCCCUGCCUCAAGCCCCUUUUAGGAAUAAUCUUGCCCUUUGGUAUUCCAUUUAUGAUUAUAGAAAAGUAUGACGUAGUAAUGCAAUUCAUAAUUAAAUUUAUCAACUUCUUAGCAAAACCUAAUCUGAUCAUUCUCUGCUUUAAAAAAUCCCAUUAUGCCCUAUCGUAAGCUUUGCUGAUAUCUAACUUCAGAGCCACCAAGCCUUUUUUUUUUUUCCUUUGUUAUGCCUAAUCUUAUGGUGGCAUUCAUACCCAACAAUGAUAUUAUCCAUUAUCAAUCUGUUGGGGAUAAAAGCACUCCACGAAGAAUCAAUUACAACAUGUAGGAUAGUUUUCAAUCUAUUUGCAAUAGUUUUACAACAAUCCUAUAAAUGAAAUUACAAAGACUUAUUGGUCUAAAUUCAGUCACUUUCCUAAGCUUUGCAUUAUUGGCAAUUAAAGCAAUGUAUGUGUGGUUCAAAAGAGCAAUGUUACCUGCUUCAUUGAGGAUGUGAAGACAUGUGGUGAUGUUAACUAAUGGUCAGUGCUUCCAAUAAAAGGCAGCCGGUAGCCCAUCAGGGCCUAGUGUCUUGGUUAGACACAUUUGAUUUAGAGCCUCCAUUAUCUCUUCCUCUGUAUAUGGUUGAGUCAGAUACUCAUUCAUUUAAGCUGAAACUUUUGAGACCAUUUCUUUCAAAGCACACUCUAUUUGAUCUUAAGUAGGGUUGGAAGUUGAAAAUAACUCUGCAAAGUAACCGCAGAACUCUUUCUCAAUAUCUUUAUUUUCUUCUACCCAUUUUCCCUAUGCAUCUUCAACUCCUCGAAUUUUGUUCUUCCUCUUUUUUAAAUGAAGCUUUUGAGUGGAAGAAUUUGGUGUUUUUAUCUCCCUCCCUUAAUCAAUCAGCCCUAAACCUCUCUCUGUUUCCAAAAGAUCUCUUCAUCUAAAAGGAGGUUAUGGAUCCGCCUCUCAAUGCUUAUCAAUUCUUCACCCCUAUCCCACUGUCUUUCCUACUGGAGCUCUUAUAUUUUAUUCAUCAGCUUCUCUAAUUUCUUCUUGCUUCCUUUAAAAGUUUUCUUACUCCAGUGUAUUAAUUCAGUUAGUGAAGAUUUACUGGCUUGUUUAAAAAACUGCAUUGCAUUAUCCCCUUACCAGUCUUUGGCUGAUUCUUCCUUUACAAUGUUCUUACACUCAUCAUAGUUGCUCCACAUGUCUUCAUAAUGGGUUCUUGAAAAGGUUCUUUUAUUAUAUGGCUUUCUAUUGGCUCUGCUUAUCACUUCCAUCAAAAUCGAAUUGUGGUCUGAGCACCAUAUAAUCAGAUUUUUUUGCAGCUUGGUUUUGGAAAGAAUUUGUCCAAUCAUUACUACAUAAAAAUCUAUCUAGACGUUCUUCAACAAAGUGGCUACCAAAUCUCCUAUUAGACUAUGUAAAAGGGUGGCUUGUAUAACCCAAAUCUUUCAAAUUGUAAUCCUGAACAUCAUCUCGAAACUCUCUAAUCAUAUAAACCUCCCUGUCUUUUCCUCUAUUUUUUUUUCAUCUAAGUGCAUUAUCUCAUUGAAAUUGCCAAAGCAUAACUAAGGGGGUGAAGAUAACAUGUUAAUCUCCUUAAUAAAGUCCAGGUGUGUUUUUUCUAACUCGUUUCUAAGUGCCCGUAGAUUCUAGUGCAUCUCAUCUGCUUCCCACUUUCAGUUCUACCUCAAUAUCUAUGCAGUGUUUGUUGAAAGAGGUGAUAUCUACCCUUGUUUCGGAAUUCCAAAGCAUAGCUAGACCCCCAUUCUUACCACCUCUACUAACCCAAAAAUAAUUUUCAAACUUCAGCUUCUUGCCAACAUUUUCCAUGUGUACAGAUGUCAAUUUAGUUUCACAUAGAAACAUUAAUUGAGGCCUAUACAAUGUGAGGAAUUUUUGGAGAGCUAUGAGCGUCCGCUCAUUCCCCAUCCCCCAGACGUUCCAGCUUAGAAUCCUCAUAGCUGUCGGCAAGGUUGAUGUUCUGCCUCCGCCGAUUGAGUUGCAUUGUUUAUGUUUUUAACAUUUUCUCCAUUCUUGAAACAACCCAGUUGAGCUUAUAGCUAAGAGGAGAUGUAUUGCAGGAGCUUUCUCUAGCUACUGAGUUUUUUUUGUGGGCUUAGGAUCUGGGUUUUUUUUUUUAUAAUUUGGGCUUGACCUUAUUACUCCACAACCUAGUCUUUUUCCCACAAUUAGCCUUUCUUUUGUGUGUCCUUUGCUACAUACACUGCUAGCUUACAGCUUUCACUUCUUUCUCUUAGGCCUAACAUUUUUUUUGUUUUCGGUCCAUCACAUACUACUUUUUUUGGGCUUGAGUUGCUUUGAUAUUUUUUUGGACUUGUAUUUAGAGUUAAUUUUGGCUCCAAAUUUAGCGCCAAAUUUAACUUUAUUCCCUCCCAAUUCUCCGUUCCCACUUUUUCUCUUUUUUUUCCAUGAUUGUUUAAGUUGUCGGUUGUAUUUUCGGUAUCAGCCAUGUUAGGUUACUUUUGACCGUGUCUUUCGGAUUUCUUGGUUCUAGAGUCAUUUGCAUUAAGUACUCCCUAAUCUUCCUUGUUUAACUAUCAUGAUCUCCCAAAUUAGAUUGGUUUGACUCGGGUUCAUAUUUAUACGGGUCUAAACCAAUUUGUUUUGCCUGCCUUCUCCCAUGGUGUUCUGCUUCUUUUGGUUCGUUAUUGAGCUGCUCAAACCUUCUAUUCCAUCUAUCUUUUCCCCUAUUCAGCCUAGUUUUUUCAACUUUGGAAAAUGCCUUCAUGUACACUCCAUAGGGCAGUUUUUUUUUUUUUUUUUUGGUUGCCCCAUGUAUGAUUCACACUCUUUAAAUUGGUACCAAAUGGUACCACAGCAAAAGCAGAAAUCUGGGAGCCAUUCAUACAAUACUGGCAACUCCACCUUAUCAUCUUCUUCUAGCUCCAACCAUUUUCUGUAAUGGCUUUGUGAUAUCAAUGGAUAUUCUGACUCUUGCAUACAAACGAAUACACUCCCCGUCAUCACAGUUUCAACUUCUAACACCUCUCUAAUCAGUCCUCCCAGCUUUUGAACAUUGUCCCUCUCUAUGCAAACUAUGGGUAUAUUGUGAAUUUGUACCAAAAAACGUGUAUGCGUGAAUUCUUCCUUUCUCAUGUUUCCUAUUCCACUGGGUUCUUUCAACACAAUCAGAGCCUUAUCGAAAUGACAUGGCUCUCCUGCCAUUAUUUUCUGUUUAUCAACUUCUAACCCAAAUUUGAACCGAAAAAUAUUGUUUCUCAUGCUCUCAAUCUUCACCUCUUUUGUUGUUUUCCAUGCUUGUGUUAAUGCAGUUUUGAUCACAUCCGUGUGGACACUCUUUGCCAAUAGAAUUUUCCCAAGCUUGUGUGGACAUCCCUGACUGUUGGUAGGGAAAUUUAUGCCAAAAUGGGGAAACUGCAGAAUGGAUUGCAAGUGAUUCUAUUGUACUGGUUACCAAAAUAGGAUACUUAUGACAGCGGUUGCUGAUUUUUCCACAUGUUCAUAUUUCUUCCAAUAUAACCCAAGUAGUUCAUAACAUUGUAUAUAAUGAUGUAGUUCGACAAGUGUUGCGUAAGAAUCACAACAAUGCAAUUGCAUCAAUAUUGAAUAGGGGUGGGCAAAAUUGGGUUUGAAUCAAUGCACUCUGCAUUGGAGAAAUGAUUUGGGAGAGGAUUAGUUUCAUUCUAUUUGCAAUUGCCUUAGCUACGACUCUAUAAAUUACAUUAUAAAGGCUUAUGGGCCUGUAAUCAAAGACUCUCCUAGGCUUAGCAAUUUUUGGGAUCAAUGCGAUAAAAGUAUAGUUAAGAGGAGACGGGUUACCUUGCUCAUUAAGGAUAUGAAGACAUGUUGUAACAACUCCAUUGCGAAUUAAUUUCCAAUGCUUCUGAAAAAAUACAACAGUUAAGCCACCUGGACCUGGGGCUUUUGUGGGGCACAUCUAUCCUAGAGCCUCCUCUAUAUCCUUUGGAGUGAAGGGCUUCUCCCGCUGGACAUUCAUUUAUGAUGUUACUUUUGCCGGCAUUCUUUGAAGAGCAGCUUGAAUUUGGCUUGGAGUUGGGCUGGAUGUAGUGAAGAGUUCUUGGAAGUAACCGCAGAAUUCCUUUUUCUAUAUCAUCUCUCUCCCUUAGCCAGACGCCUUUAGAGUUUUCUACCCCCCGCACCUUAUUCUUUCUUUUACGGGCAAAAGCUUUGGCAUGGAAAAACUUAGUGUUUUUGUCUCAUUCUCUUAGCCAGUCAGCCCCCGAUCGUUGCUUCCAAUAGAUCUCCUCGUCAAUAAGCAUGAAAUUGAUAUGGCUUUCAAUCUUCCUGAUCUCCUCUCCAUCAGUCAGCUUAGAGCUUCCUUGCAUAGCAUUCUGAAGGCUCUGAAACAACUUUUCUUGUUUUAUUUGUCUUCCUUCAAAUUCGUUUUUACUCCAGAGCCUAAGUUGAGCUAAAAAGUUUUUGCUAUCCGCUGAAAUUGGUGAGCAGGAUCCUCCCAAGCUCUAGCCCCAUAGUUUCCCCAUUCAUCCCUUACUAUGCUCCUACAGUCUUCGUAAGAACUCCACAUUUCCUCAUAGUGCUCACGGGGAAACGAUCUGCUCACAGUCCUCGACUUCUUGCAUCUCUAUUUGAAUUCUAAGACUAUUGGGCAGUGAUUUGAGACCCAAUUAACAAGGUUUGUGGCUGUAGAUUCUUGAAAUUUGUUGCCCCAAUCCUUACUACACAAGAAUCUGUCCAGCCAUUCUUCUAUGUAAUUAACACCAAAUCUCUUAUUAGACCAUGUAUACGGGUACCUCUUGCAGCCCACAACCUCUCUAAACUCGACAACCACAUUUACAUUCUUCUCGUUGCCCCCAUUUUUCUCAUACAUAUGCAUCACUUCAUUGAAAUCCCCAAAGCAACACCAAGGGUGGGAAGAAAGAUUAGCUAACCUUUUUAGAAUGGUCCAUGUGUUGUGCUUCUAGCUGAGCUUUGGGUGGCCAUAAAUCCCCGUACAUCUCCAAACCAAGUCACUUUCACUACUCACUAUUGCAUCUAUAUGGUGGGGCCUGUAUGAGGUGAUAUUGACAUUAACGUCUGCUCCCCAGAGCAUAGCUAGGCCUUCACCCA